UAUGUAGGGCGCAAGCGUUGUCCGGAAUUAUUGGGCGUAAAGAGCUCGUAGGCGGUUUGUCGCGUCUGGUGUGAAAACUCAAGGCUCAACCUUGAGCUUGCAUCGGGUACGGGCAGACUAGAGUGUGGUAGGGGUGACUGGAAUUCCUGGUGUAGCGGUGGAAUGCGCAGAUAUCAGGAGGAACACCGAUGGCGAAGGCAGGUCACUGGGCCACUACUGACGCUGGAGGAGCGAAAGCGUGGGGAGCGAACAGG
rnacentral:rRNA from 1 species